CAGUCGCCGCGGGAAAACGAAGGGUGCAAGCGUUACUCGGAAUUACUGGGCGUAAAGCGUGCGUAGGUGGUGGUUUAAGUCCGUUGUGAAAGCCCUGGGCUCAACCUGGGAAUUGCAGUGGAUACUGGGUCACUAGAGUGUGGUAGAGGAUAGUGGAAUUUCCGGUGUAGCAGUGAAAUGCGUAGAGAUCGGAAGGAACAUCUGUGGCGAAGGCGACUAUCUGGGCCAACACUGACACUGAGGCACGAAAGCGUGGGGAGCAAACAGGAUUAGAUACCCGAGUAGUCCCUGUCUCUUAUAC
rnacentral:rRNA from 1 species